UACGGAGGGGGCUAGCGUUGUUCGGAAUUACUGGGCGUAAAGCGCGUGUAGGCGGCCUGCUAAGUCUGAUGUGAAAGCCCGAGGCUCACCCUCGGAAGUGCAUUGGAAACUGGCAGACUGGAGUCCCGGAGAGGAGGGUGGAAUUCCUGGUGUAGCGGUGAAAUGCGUAGAUAUCAGGAGGAACACCGGUGGCGAAGGCGGCCCUCUGGACGGUGACUGACGCUGAGACGCGAAAGCGUGGGGAGCAAACAGG
rnacentral:rRNA from 1 species